UACGAAGGGGGCUAGCGUUGCUCGGAAUGACUGGGCGUAAAGGGCGCGUAGGCGGCGGACACAGUCAGAUGUGAAAUUCCCGGGCUCAACCUGGGGGCUGCACUUGAUACGUAUAGACUGGAGUGGGGAAGAGGGUCGUGGAAUUCCCAGUGUAGAGGUGAAAUUCGUAGAUAUUGGGAAGAACACCGGUGGCGAAGGCGGCGACCUGGUCCUUGACUGACGCUGAGGGACGAAAGCUAGGGGAGCGAAUGGG
rnacentral:rRNA from 1 species